CUUUCUAUAUGUUCUUCAAUUGUUUCCUGCCCGGUUCCUCGUUACUGUUGACUAGCUCUGCUUCCGGUAUUCACGAUACGCUCACUUCAUAUCUCCCAUCGUUUCGCUCUCGGUAUACAUCAAGCUGGUCACCUUCGCCCCGAUCCUCAAUCCCUAGCACGUCUAGGGGUAUAAGCGCUCAUACUAGCUCGUUCGUUUCUCUGGUGAACAUACAUCUCCCAUCUGCAUACUCCUUGCCAUCAUGCACGACCUAGCCAAAGGUUGUGCACUCUACGAUUGGGUCAUCUGCUCUACCUUUGAUAAUACUCUCCGUCUUGAUCUGGCAGUAGACUGCGUCUCCGAGUAUCACAUGUAUUCUUCGUUGGCGGUUCUGUAGAAAGUUUUCCCUCGCACGGGUGGAUACUUCGAAUUCUCCUUUACCUCGGUAAUUGUAUAGGCCGCCGCCUAACAGUGGUGAAAUCCGACAUCUUGCUACCCGUCAGUUCCAUUGACUUGCUUACACUCCCGUCGAACGCCUCAAUUGUCAAAGGAAAAACAGGCAACGAUUGCUCUUUCGUCCCGUUAACUGUUAAAAUCUGUCUCCUAUUAUGUCGCGUUGGCUUUAAUUUUAGCUUAUCUGGAAAAAUGUUCCGCCCUAAGCCAGUGUCUAAGUACGCCCAGAACGCUACUCCCUGGAUUUUCAUUGAUGAUGGCCGGAAGAGACUUCUCCUCUUUUGAGGGUGAAAAUCCAUUCAACAGUUUGUUGUGGCCCUGCCUUUAAUUUCCUGAUUCUCUGUUGCACAGACUGGUAUGAUGCCUUGCUUUGCACUUAUAACAACCCCUCCCGCGGCAUUUAUUUUCUUUGUGUCCUGACCGUGCACAAUUGAAGCAUAGGCGGUGCUCAGAAACGAAUCGACGGCGCUUUUCAAGAGUGUCAUACACUGGACAUGUGUCUCCACAGUGUGAUUCUUUGCACUCAAAUAUGCAUCAAAACUCUUGCUUAGGGAUUCGUAGAAGUCAUACACUUUGUUGUACCCAGAUUAGUAAUCUGGUCAACAUGAGCAGCAAUGACCAUUUUAGUUUCACCAUACUCUGUCCUUAAUCUGUCCUAUGCGGUUUGAUAAGCUAACUCUCCAGGUUUCAGA